GAAAUUCGCCUUCAUGAAGCUGGAAUUGCUAGUAAUGGCAGGUCAGCAUACUGCCGUGAAUACGUUCCCGGGCCUUGUACACACCGCCCGUCACACCAUGAGAGUUGGGAAUACCCGAAGCCUGUGAGCUAACAUAUGAGGCAGCAGUCGAAGGUAGAAUCAAUGAUUGGGGCGAAGUCGUAACAAGGUAAC
rnacentral:rRNA from 1 species